CAACAACAUCCUGAUACUGACGAGGCAGAGAAGAGUCUCUCCAGAUCAGAACACCAGAUGGACAACGCUAGCCCUUCCACCCUCCCGGAGUCCCCAUGUCGUGCCUCUCCUGGUAGCACCUUACUGCUGGGUAUGAAGAGGUUGUCUGUGCUGCUGGUGGACUACAGGAAAACAACAGGGCUGAGUGGAACUGUGAGAGGAGGAGAAGAGAUGAAAGGAUCAGAUUUGACUCAUCAAAAAGAGAGACCCGACUCAGAGGAACCAGAGACGUCUGAACCAGCGAGACGACACCACUGUUCCCAGUGUGGAAAGAGUUAUACCCGUUUAUGGAGCCUGAAAAACCACAAGAGAACACAUGCAGGGAAGAAGCCUUAUCACUGCUCUCAGUGUGGAAAGAG